rnacentral:rRNA from 1 species
UACGGAGGGUGCAAGCGUUAUCCGGAUUCACUGGGUUUAAAGGGUGCGUAGGUGGGAAUGUAAGUCAGUGGUGAAAUCUCCGUGCUUAACAUGGAACUGCCAUUGAUACUAUGUUUCUUGAAUUUUUCUGGAGGUCAGCGGAAUAUGUCAUGUAGCGGUGAAAUGCUUAGAUAUGACAUAGAACACCAAUUGCGAAGGCAGCUGACUACAGGGACAUUGACACUGAGGCACGAAAGCGUGGGGAUCAACAGG